UCCCUGGUGGCUCAGUUGGUAGAGUCUGCCUGCAAUGCAGGAGUCUCAGGUUCAAUCCCUGGGUGGGGGAA
rfam:Ovis aries breed Texel chromosome 9, whole genome shotgun sequence.